CGGGUGGUUGUGGAGACCAGGCACGCGCUGCUCCUUCCUCCUCAGCACGGAGAACGUGAACAGCACUUCUGCAGACCUGAAGGUGACUCUGAUGAACCAGGAUGAUUUGAUUUAAUUUCCAGGUAGUUUAUCACCUGUAUGUCUACACACUAAGUGUUGUGACUAAGUUUGUGAUGGUGUGUAUGAAAAUAAAUUUCAUUUUUUAAAGA